CUGCGUUAGCGAUUGUAGUGGCAUCCUUUUUAUGUAAACGGAAUUUUUAAAUAAAAGAAUAAGUUUAAAUGAAUUCUAAAUUUACAAAUGAACUCUAAAAUUUUAUUCAUAAAAAGAUAUAACGGAAAGCGCGCCGCUUG
rnacentral:sRNA from 1 species